CAGUUUUCAUUUGUCAGCUGUCACUAACGUCAAUUUAGAACUAAGAGUGUAAUAAAAUUUGUUUUCAAGGCAAAAUCAACAAUUCCCUGCCAUAUUUGUUGUUUCUUUUACCUAUAUAACAUCUACACGUUGAAUGUUCUACCGGGAAUCCGAAGUAUUUACCCGUAAACAUACCUUUCGAAUUGAAACACGAAUGAUUUGACGACGAUGUCCGCGAGCGCUCUUGAGGGCGAAGACCUAGAUAACGUACGAUUAGUGCGUAUGGAGGAUGUCCAGCCGUCGCGCGAAGGGCGCAUUGAAAUAUUUGAAACUUGUAUUAUCGAUCAUAUAGAGUACGAUAACGAAUGCGUGAUAGGAGAUGAUCAGACCAACGUUGGCGGUAUAGUGUCAAUCCAAACUGAUGAAACAGAACAGAGCGCUUCUGAGUUUAUUGUUCCCGAAAUACUAGAAGUUCCAGUUUAUUAUUUCCAGGAAAACGAAAAACUAGAUGUAAUACCUCACACACCAGAUCGAUGGCCGACUCUCGAAAUUCUACCUGGAGGUGUCAUAAAACCAGCUGAUAAAGCUGACAAUCAGAACUCACGCAAAUCGAGAGUAACGUUAAAUAGUGAAAUGAUCUAUGCAUGUGCUAAAUGUUCACAGACAUUCAAGUUUCUUUAUUGCUUGGUUAAACAUGUAAGGUGGCAUGAAAAUGAACAGAAAGUCAAAAAGUCCAAUAUAGCUGAUCUAAUUUUGUCAAAGAACAGGAAAAAACAAGAUAAACAGGCCAACCUGAAUACGGGAACCAAGAAAGUUGUGAUUACAAAAAUGGUGACGAAACGGAAAAAGGCCAAUCAGAGAACGAAAAGACUGAAAACUUAGUUUUUAAAGUUCUAAGCUGUUAGUUUAGUUAAUAUAAGACCAUACUUGAAGUUCCAAUAAUUCCCAUUAAACACUCAAAAACUGUAUCCAAAUUCACAUAUACAUAUAUAGAUCGCUUACUAACAAUCAGUCACCUUUUUGUCAUCUGGAAGUCACAUCUCUGGGCCUGAUUUCUGUAAAGUUGUAGACACAAUCAUUUCCUUAUCAGUAACAUAAGUUAUCAUAUAACAUAAGCAUUAUGUAAUGCUAAAUAAUACACCAAUCCAGGUUCACAUAAAUACACAUAAAAAUCAUUAGGUUUUUUGUUCAUAUCAUUUUUUUAAAUCAUGAUCUAUUUAUUUUCUUUAAAGUCAGUUGUUUUUCGUUACUCAUAUUUCAUCAUGUUGCACACUUAUUUUUCCAAUAUAGAAUGGUACUUUCACUACUUAACGAGCAAUAAAUAACAAAAACUGCAUCAGUAUACAGUCAAACCUGGAUAAGUGAGAACUGGAUAAGUGAGAAAACUCUAUAAGUGAGAGUAAUAGCCAGGACCCGUCAUUUUUAGCUCCUAAAACCUCUAUUAGCGAGAAACAGAAACCUCUGUAAGAGAGAGUCGUUUUUGCCUCAUGGACCUCCGUGAGUGAGACUGCUACUUAUCUAUACCUCUAUAAGCGACAGUCGAGCUUUAUUUAUUUAUAUUAUUUAGGAAGAACAAAUGACAAAACAAAUUACAAAUUUAGCAUCUGCUAUUUUAUGACCCUAUCUUAACUUUCGUGGAACUUCUUAACAUUGUUUUUGUAUUGUUUUCUCGUCAAUAUUGAACCUAUUCUAUUUCGUGGAACUAAAUAACGUUGUUAUUUAUUCGAUUUCUUUUCGAAUGGACACGUGUCCCUGUGUACCGUCCUGUUUGUCUGACUUACUCAGUUUAUCGUUAAUCAAUUGCGAAGGAAAGUUCUGUUCUGCAUCAUGUUAAAACGGAAAAUCAAAGUACUGCCAUUAAGUGAUAAACUUAAAAUAGUGAAUGCGUUUGAAUCCGGGAAAUCGCGAAAUUAAAUUCAGAGGGUGCAUUAGCGAGAAACUCGGGUUAGUGAGAAACCUCUAUAAGCGAGAAUGAGAUUGUGCUCCCUUGAACUCUCGCUUAUCCAGGUUUGACUGUAUUCAUACACUGGAGGAAGCAAUGCAAAUGAUUUUUUCAAAGGAUUGAAUCCACCACAGCUUAAAAAUAACAAACUUAAUUUAUAGGUCAUCAACAUCUACGAUAACACAUGCUCAAAAUGUUAAAGCAUAUAACAUAUUUAUAAUAAUAAUAAAUAUAGAAUAACUAUGGUCUUAUAUUAACUGGGCUAAAAUAUUAAUCAAUAAGCCAAAUAAUGUUAUAAAGACACAUUUUUUUCUAAGAAACGUUGUCUGUUUGUACAUAACCACUGUCUGGAUGCAGCAAUCUGGCCCACUCGAUUUAUGGACGUCCAGGAGUCGCUCCCGCCUGACUGCAUGCACACUGUGUGAAAAUAUCGAGAAGAUAAGCUUUACGAAAGUUUAAGUAGCAAAAUUUGAGGUGCUAAUAAAGGUAGCAUACAGUAGUGCGAAUAAGUUAUAAAUAGUCUUAAAUCAGUUAUUUUUAUAUUUAAACUAAUCUUUUUUCCCGCGUUUUUGACAAAACUGUCAACUGUCACUGGAAUGUGCAAUGAACUUUAUACCUACCUACAUAUAAAUAAAUUUAUUGGUUCCUAGUUCUAUAUCUCUAAUUUAUUACAAGUAUGAAUUUAUUUGAUUAAACAAAUAUGAGUCGUUAAUACGUAUUGUAAAUACGUUUUCGUUUAGUUUGGCGUUUAUUCUUGUUGUUUGUUGUCGGUAAUGAAAUUCGAACGUUAUCGUGAGAUACAGAUACCUAAACGUAUAAUGCGUUGUAUCUACUUAUGUUUUGCAAUGUAGUAAUCGCCCCGAAGGACACUUACAGAUUUUAUAUUUCAAAGUAUUUUAUAUUAAGCAAGUUGUUCUUUCAGCUUAAAAAAAUAUUCUGUUUUAAGUAGGUAGAUUGAGCUGAAUUACGUAAAUAAUAGUACGCUAUUUUACUAGCGGGUAUAUACGGCUACGUAUGCGAUUGCGAUGCCCCCAUAUUGGUGUGUGUACACUUGCCUCAAAUUGUAAUAUGCGACCGUGUAUUUCACGUAAUGUUUGACAAUCAAUGCCAGAUAUACAUUGCGCAAAUACAUUGGUUUUAUCAGUUUUAUGCACAUCUUCCUUCGCCGAUCAAUGUGCUUAGUGAGAGUUUUUUAACGUUGUCAGCGCCCCUAGCGGCAAACGCAGUGGAGUUGUUCCAACUCCAUACAAAUUUGAGUUAACUUUUACGCGAUCGAGAAGUUAAAAAAGUCGCACUAAGCACACUGGGCGGGAUCACGUGUCAUAAACGCUUCUAGUCACCACUUCUCAUAAAAAUGCAAUGAUCCAAGUUACGUAAAUCGCACGAGGUGUCAGUCUGUCACUCUGUCUCUACCCAUUAUCGAGUUUAUUUGUUUUUAUUUAUUUAUUUAAAAAAUAAGAUUGUGUUUGUCUUUCUUUUUGUUAUAAUUUAGUUUUAGUAAAACCGUGAAAUAUAAUUUUGCAAUAAA